AAAAAAAAAAAAAAAUGAAAAUGAAAAAUGAAAAUAGACAGAAAAGAGAAGAAGAAAGAAAUACAAGUUUGUUAGAACU
rnacentral:ribozyme from 1 species